CGAUAUCAAUAAGCGGAGGAAAAGAAAAUAACAAUGAUUCCCCUAGUAACUGCGAGUGAAGAGGGACAAGCUCAAAUUUUAAAUCUGUCGGGUUCUACCUGACCGAGUUGUAAUUUGAAGAGGCGUUUUCUGUGUUUCUGAUCAGUCCAAGUCCUUUGGGAUAAGGCAUCACGGAGGGUGAGAAUCCCGUUCGGUUGAUCAGAUUCGCUUUACGAUACGCUUUCAAAGAGUCAAGUUGUUUGGGACUGCAGCUUAAAAUGGGAGGUAAAUUUCUCCUAAGGCUAAAUAACGGCGAGAGACCGAUAGCGAACAAGUACCGUGAGGGAAAGAUGAAAAGAACUUUGAAAAGAGAGUUAAACAGUACGUGAAAUUGUUGAAAGGGAAACGAUUGAAGCCAGUCGUACCUGCGGGUAAUCAGCCUUUUGGGCAUGAUUCUGUGGAGCGUGAGGAGUUAAACGCCUUCAUGCCUGCAUAUUCGUGUACUUUGGGUGUACUUGUCCGUGUGGUUGGUUAACAUCAAUUUUGGUUAUCAUAAAAUGGCUGGAGGAAUGUAGCUUCGAUUUCGAUUGAAGUGUUAUAGCCUUCGGCAGAUGUGAUGAUCGGGAUUGAGGAUUGCAACGGAUACCUUUCGGGGCUACCUGUCUGAUCUCUGAUCGUUGCUCUGGUGCCGAAAGCGUGCUUACGGUUAUCAAAGUCGAUGGUCAAUAGGUUAGAAUGGGUUAAAUUCGUUAAGGAUGUUGACGUA
rnacentral:rRNA from 1 species